rnacentral:lncRNA from 1 species
ACAAUUUCACCCAACUUGAGCUUGUACAAAAUUGUGGUUUUACCAGCGGCAUCGAGACCAACCAUUAGAAUGCGCAUUUCUCUCUUAGCAAAUAGGCGACUGAAAAGCUUGGUAAAAGACAGCCCCAUCUCUAUAUCUGAUAGAUUCAGCAACACCAAGGAAUUAAGGAAAUAGUUCGACCCCCAUUGACAAUAUACAGUAUAAAUAUAUUCAGAAAAUAAAACUAUCUCACACAAAGACCAGAAGUGAAAAGAAACUCAAAACCUUUAGCAUAUCAAUCACAACAAAAUGAGAGAAUCAAUUUUUCAUCCAGCAAAUAAAAUUAAUUAAUAAGAAGAAUAACACCACAAAAGCUCUUUUAUGUAAGAAACUUGGAAGACUAUUUUUUUUUCUUCUAGAAAAUUAUAGGCAAAAGUAGAAUGAGAAUAACCAAAAACACUUUAAAAAUCAAACAGAAAAAUACAAGCAGACACUGUAAAAAAGGUGAUCUAAAAAUUGCUUCAGAAAUAACUACAAAGAAGUGUUGCCAGAAUAUUGCCCAGAUCUGUGAUCUACAUUUUCUUAACAAAGGAAUGACAUUCAUCAAACUACAAAAUAAAAAAUCUGAUGAGAAAGCUUAUAUUGAAUUCUGGAAGCAUAGCCAUAUUAAAUUCUAAAAACAAAAACAUGCAGAUCCGAACAUUCAGUAAAUCUUAAACAAUCAUUCAAAUUCAUGAAACCGGUCGAGUCACGUAGAUUCACGCAGAUUAUUUCCAUCUCAUUUUUCUUCAGAGAGAGAGAGAGAGAGAGUAAAAACGGGAGAAGAAAUGAAAAAAAACAUGAACAACAGCUCACAAUCCAUCAAAAUUUUCAUAUUUAUAGCUCACUAAUCAAAUCGAACAAAAACGAGAAAAAACUAACUAUCAAAUCUAGCUAUCUAAUACAUCACAGAUCAGGUGAAGAACAAAAACCAGAUGAAUUAGUACAUACAGUACCAAAUUAACACGUACUAGACUUCGUAAGCGCAAACAAUCAGAUAAUGAUCGAAUUCAAAAGAGUUGAGAUUCAUAAUAAAAUCAGAUUUAUAGAUUGAUACAAACAGAAGCUAGGGAUUACAAUCGAAAAGAAGGUAGAGAAAUUACUGAGGAUGAGGUGCGCGAUGGGAGCGUUAGAAUGCAGAGAUCUCUAAAUGUAGCUGUCGUUCCAAAAAACCGCUCUGUCUAUCAGAUGCGGAGGAGGAGAGUAAAUGAAAAUUGGAGAGGUCAAUUUAUAGUAGCAGGC